CCUACGGGUGGCUGCAGUGGGGAAUAUUGGACAAUGGGGGGAACCCUGAUCCAGCCAUGCCGCGUGUGUGAAGAAGGCCCUCGGGUUGUAAAGCACUUUCAGUGAGGAAGAACGCCUGGUGGUUAAUACCCAUCAGGAAAGACAUCACUCACAGAAGAAGCACCGGCUAACUCCGUGCCAGCAGCCGCGGUAAUACGGAGGGUGCGAGCGUUAAUCGGAAUUACUGGGCGUAAAGCGCGCGUAGGUGGCUUGAUAAGCCGGUUGUGAAAGCCCCGGGCUCAACCUGGGAACGGCAUCCGGAACUGUCAAGCUAGAGUGCAGGAGAGGAAGGUAGAAUUCCCGGUGUAGCGGUGAAAUGCGUAGAGAUCGAGAGGAAUACCAGUGGCGAAGGCGGCCUUCUGGACUGACACUGACACUGAGGUGCGAAAGCGUGGGUAGCAAACAGGAUUAGAUUACCCCGGUAGUC
rnacentral:rRNA from 1 species